GUGUGAACGUGUGACUGAUGAGUUUGUUGUGUUUUUUCAUCUGACAACGCUAUUUUUGUCAUGACAUGAUUUGAAACUCCACAAAGAUUACUUGGAGAUUCAUUAUCCUCAUCAUCAGUGACCUUCAAGCAAUAUCGCUUUUGAUUCAAGAGACUACGUCUUCCGAAAUGUGUCUCGUGCCUAAGUCUAUGGCUUGAUGUUCACUAUCUUCAAAUGCAUUUGAAGUGACAUGACUUAUAGGCAGUCUAAUCACACCACAUACCAUUCUCGUAAAGAGAUUGCCAUAAUAUCAGAGGGUUACUGUUAUAUAUUAAAGUACAUGAACGAGACCUCUGUGAGUCAUGCUACAAGAUUAUUAGGACUUCUUAGGGCUGUAUCCUUGAAUAAGAAUUAUAAAUGGAACAAGGUAAAAUUAAAGAAGUUAGACUAUAAAAUAAGAGACUAAAGGUAACUGAUGAAUAGUAUGUGAGAGAGAGAAAGCAGUAAAUCUGGGGGUUAAAGUGAUACAGAGAAUCAUUUGGUGGUAGCUGCAUUGUGCUGGGGCCCAGCUUAAAUGGUUACUCAAGAAUAAUUUCCAUGACUAUUUUAAUUCCCUCAGUCACAUUUUUACUCAAGUUUUCCUCUUAUGAAUUUAGAUCUCCAAAGAGUUUACUCCCUUGUCUUAUAUUUUGUAGACUUUCAGCCAGAAUUCCAUUGUUGUUCAGACCAUGGCUUGCACUUUGUUCCCAUUGCCUCAGUCUUAAACUUAGUUUUGCUUGCUUUCAUUAUUUUCAACUUUCCAGUCUUCCAUCUUUCAAACAAUGUAGUAAGAUAAGCUGAUUCAGCUGGUAAGACAAUGGGACUUGAUAACCCUUGCUUGCAUGUAUCAACCUACUGGACAGAGCUGUUCCUUUUGAAUCUACAGUGGACUAUGGUGCCAAUGACUUCUGACUACACAUAAAUUAGCCCAAGUUAAGGCAUGGGAUUAGGACCUAUAGGAAAAGUAAUAGUUUCUAAAACAAAAGUUUUGGAUGGGAUUAUUGGGAAGAUAGACCCCUAAUGUCUUGAGCCAUGUAGUUCCUUCAUUCACGCGGGUAUAAGUUUCACCUCUCACUUGAAUACAUCCUUUAGAUGAACCUUAUGAAAGAAAAGAUGUUACUAUUUAAUAGUAGGUCUCUCUCUCUCUCUC